CAAUGACGGUAGGCAAAGAGUCUUUAGUGAAAUGUUCAAACAAAGGCACACAGCAUCAGGCAAGCGACGCCGCAAACAGUCGGGAAUAAACAAGACAAUCUGACAACUGGUGAGUGGAAACAGGGACGUGUAAUACAGAGGGGAUGGUAGGGUUAAAGGGAAAUGGCACAGGCGGAGCGAACAGCAUAGCAUGACAAAGCAACAGGGAGCGAUGUAACCCGGAGCGUGAAGCCAUGAGGGCCGAUCGGGAGCCUGAAGAAGAGGGGAAAAUAUACCAUUAUGUUGUACUCACCUAAGUCAGGCACUUUAGUCUGGGUAUCAUCUCAGGCUCGCAUCUGUCAGGCUCCUGCCACCAUCCCGCACUGUGGUUUUCCAUGUCAGCUCUUGCUCUCCACCGCCGGCUUUGACCUCCUUUCCCGCCAUCCCUCCUUCCACCUGCUCCGUGCUUCCCCUGUCCCGCGCCUCUUUCUUUACACAUCUCCAGAGCUACGGCAUGUUAGCGAUGGGAGCUGCUCUGAUUCCAUCUCCCAAGUAAAUGACUGUGAGGCGAUAAAGAGAAGGGAGAGGCAGUGCGGGCUGGAGUGGUGGCUCUCGUUCCUCGGAGAUAAGCAAGCACAUCGAGUGUGUGUGUGUGUGUGUAUGUGUGUGCGCCUGUGUGUUUUUGAGUGUUAAGAAAGAGGGCAGCAAGACGGGGAGCUCCCGAGGGCACCGCAGCGCGCCACCUUAUCAGCCACCAACACUCAGGCUUCACUGAAGACCACCCCUCACCGCUUCUUCCUGAUCUGGAGCAAUAGGCCACCCUCACUUCUCGGCACUCGCUGAAACAGCCAAAGGUAUUCAUGUGUGGAAUCAUGUCGCCAUCAACCUGUGAACUGCCUGAUGUGAAACUGAUGCAUAUUGCACUCGGAAAGGAAGGGAAGUGGUUCAAAAAUGUGGCACUGAAAUAUUCACUCUCAUGCACUGGAGCAUCUCAAAACAGAGCCGCACCGCAUGGGUCAGCAGCUUUGUUGAAAAAUGGAUUAAUCUCCGACGAAUGAAUAAUUGCUUUUUUUCCUCCAAGAGAAUCUGACUUGUUUUCAUAAAAGGAGUUAAAUGUGAAUAAUGUAUCUCUUCGCUCCAUCUAUUCAACACACACACACACACACACACACACACACACACACACACACACACACACACACACACACACACACACACACACACACACACACACACACACACACACACACACACACACACACACACACACACACACACACACACACACACACACACACACACACUCCCCAAAGUUCCCCGCUUGCUUUGCUGUAACAGUUUGGUAAUUAGGACCAACAGCUGCGGUUUCUGACACAACUAGUCAGCGUGUCACGGCUGAACAGAUCCCUCACACUUCCUCUCACCCGUUCACUUUACAGUCUGCUGCCGCCACUUUCUUUCCUCCUCCUCCGCUCCCUCUUACCAUGACAAAUUGGGAUCGGAAGACAAAUGCUUAAUGGGUUUUUUU
rnacentral:lncRNA from 1 species